rnacentral:rRNA from 1 species
CCUACGGGUGGCUGCAGUGGGGAAUAUUGGACAAUGGGGGCAACCCUGAUCCAGCCAUGCCGCGUGUGUGAAGAAGGCCCUCGGGUUGUAAAGCACUUUCAGUGAGGAAGAACGCCUGGUGGUUAAUACCCAUCAGGAAAGACAUCACUCACAGAAGAAGCACCGGCUAACUCCGUGCCAGCAGCCGCGGUAAUACGGAGGGUGCGAGCGUUAAUCGGAAUUACUGGGCGUAAAGCGCGCGUAGGUGGCUUGAUAAGCCGGUUGUGAAAGCCCCGGGCUCAACCUGGGAACGGCAUCCGGAACUGUCAAGCUAGAGUGCAGGAGAGGAAGGUAGAAUUCCCGGUGUAGCGGUGAAAUGCGUAGAGAUCGGGAGGAAUACCAGUGGCGAAGGCGGCCUUCUGGACUGACACUGACACUGAGAUGCGAAAGCGUGGGUAGCAAACAGGAUUAGAUACCCUUGUAGUC